UACGUAGGGUGCAAGCGUUAUCCGGAAUCACUGGGCGUAAAGCGUCUGUAGGUGGUUUGCUAAGUCCGCUGUUAAAGCUUGAAGCUCAACUUCAAAAAUGCAGCGGAAACUAGUAGACUUGAGUGUGGUAGGGGUAGAGGGAAUUUCCAGUGAAGUGGUGAAAUGCGUAGAUAUUGGAAAGACCACCAAUGGCGAAGGCACUCUACUGGGCCACAACUGACACUGAGAGACGAAAGCUAGGGGAGCAAAUGGG
rnacentral:rRNA from 1 species